rnacentral:lncRNA from 1 species
GUCUGCUGCUAAUAGUCAGCUUCACACGGCACUUCUGGGUUACUACUGUCUGUAUUUUAUGGAAAGGAAGCCACAGAUUCUCUGAGUAGCAUCAAUGAGGACUCUGGAGCCUGGUCACACUUCCUCCUUCACAGGUGGCUUAAUGAGGGUGUAGGUCAUCACAUACAUUCCCAGCGUCUGCAACCAAUUACGUGAGAGAAAAGUUCCAAGAAAGCUUUGGCGAUGGAAUGCAAGAGAAUCAGCUUUUACAUCAUUUGGUAGCUCACUGCGUCCAGAAAUAUCAGAAUUUAAUGCCUAUUUCUCUGUGACGGACAGGUGAGUGUAUUCUAUUGCUCUGUCAAAGGUAACGGCGAAGAGCCAUUUCCCCCUCUGGAUCCUAUGUUCUCUUCCACUCCUGACUUCCCACUCCAGAAAGGCCUGGCAAAGCUCUGAGCGCCCACCAAACAGCAAACUGCAGCACUGCAACAGUAGAGAG